rnacentral:rRNA from 1 species
CAGUCGCCACGGGAAUACGUAGGGCGCAAGCGUUAUCCGGAAUUAUUGGGCGUAAAGAGCUCGUAGGCGGUUUGUCGCGUCUGCCGUGAAAGUCCGGGGCUCAACCCCGGAUCUGCGGUGGGUACGGGCAGACUAGAGUGAUGUAGGGGAGACUGGAAUUCCUGGUGUAGCGGUGAAAUGCGCAGAUAUCAGGAGGAACACCGAUGGCGAAGGCAGGUCUCUGGGCAUUAACUGACGCUGAGGAGCGAAAGCAUGGGGAGCGAACAGGAUUAGAUACCCCAGUAGUCCCUGUCUCUUAUAC